AGAGUUUGAUCCUGGCUCAGAUUGAACGCUGGCGGCAUGCUUUACACAUGCAAGUCGAACGGCAGCACGGGGCAACCUGGUGGCGAGUGGCGAACGGGUGAGUAAUAUAUCGGAACAUAUCCGGAAGUGGGGGAUAACGUACCGAAAGGUACGCUAAUACCGCAUAUGCCCUGAGGGGGAAAGGGGGGAUCGCAAGACCUCUCGCUUUCGGAGUGGCCGAUAUCGGAUUAGCUAGUAGGUGAGGUAAAGGCUCACCUAGGCGACGAUCCGUAGCUGGUCUGAGAGGACGACCAGCCACACUGGAACUGAGACACGGUCCAGACUCCUACGGGAGGCAGCAGUGGGGAAUUUUGGACAAUGGGCGAAAGCCUGAUCCAGCCAUGCCGCGUGAGUGAAGAAGGCCUUCGGGUUGUAAAGCUCUUUCAGCCGGAAAGAAAUUGCUUCUAUUAAUACUAGGAGUAGAUGACGGUACCGGAAGAAGAAGCACCGGCUAACUACGUGCCAGCAGCCGCGGUAAUACGUAGGGUGCGAGCGUUAAUCGGAAUUACUGGGCGUAAAGCGUGCGCAGGCGGUUUGGUAAGACAGACGUGAAAUCCCCGGGCUUAACCUGGGAACUGCGUUUGUGACUGUCAGACUAGAGUGUAGCAGAGGGGGGUAGAAUUCCACGUGUAGCAGUGAAAUGCGUAGAUAUGUGGAGGAAUACCAAUGGCGAAGGCAGCCCCCUGGGUUAACACUGACGCUCAUGCACGAAAGCGUGGGGAGCAAACAGGAUUAGAUACCCUGGUAGUCCACGCCCUAAACGAUGUCAACUAGGUGUUGGGGAAGGAGACUUCUUUAGUACCGCAGCUAACGCGUGAAGUUGACCGCCUGGGGAGUACGGUCGCAAGAUUAAAACUCAAAGGAAUUGACGGGGACCCGCACAAGCGGUGGAUUAUGUGGAUUAAUUCGAUGCAACGCGAAAAACCUUACCUACCCUUGACAUGUCAGGAAGAUUCCAGAGAUGGGAUUGUGCCCGAAAGGGAACCUGAACACAGGUGCUGCAUGGCUGUCGUCAGCUCGUGUCGUGAGAUGUUGGGUUAAGUCCCGCAACGAGCGCAACCCUUGUCAUUAAUUGCCAUCAUUUAGUUGGGUACUUUAAUGAGACUGCCGGUGAUAAACCGGAGGAAGGUGGGGAUGACGUCAAGUCCUCAUGGCCCCUAUGGGUAGGGCUUCACACGUAAUACAAUGGUCGGUACAGAGGGUUGCCAACCCGCGAGGGGGAGCCAAUCCCAGAAAGCCGAUCGUAGUCCGGAUUGUAGUCUGCAACUCGACUACAUGAAGUCGGAAUCGCUAGUAAUCGCGGAUCAGCAUGUCGCGGUGAAUAUGUUCCCGGGUCUUGUACACACCGCCCGUCACACCAUGGGAGUGGAAUCUGGCAGAAGUAGGUAGCCUAACCGCAAGGGGGGCGCUUACCACGCUGGGUUUCAUGACUGGGGUGAAGUCGUAACAAGGUA
rnacentral:rRNA from 1 species